rnacentral:rRNA from 1 species
AGACACGGUCCAAACUCCUACGGGAGGCAGCAGUGGGGAAUAUUGCACAAUGGGCGAAAGCCUGAUGCAGCAACGCCGCGUGAGUGAUGAAGGCCUUCGGGUCGUAAAACUCUGUCCUCAAGGAAGAUAAUGACGGUACUUGAGGAGGAAGCCCCGGCUAACUACGUGCCAGCAGCCGCGGUAAUACGUAGGGGGCUAGCGUUAUCCGGAUUUACUGGGCGUAAAGGGUGCGUAGGCGGUCUUUCAAGUCAGGAGUGAAAGGCUACGGCUCAACCGUAGUAAGCUCUUGAAACUGGGAGACUUGAGUGCAGGAGAGGAGAGUGGAAUUCCUAGUGUAGCGGUGAAAUGCGUAGAUAUUAGGAGGAACACCAGUUGCGAAGGCGGCUCUCUGGACUGUAACUGACGCUGAGGCACGAAAGCGUGGGGAGCAAACAGGGUUAGAUACCCUGGUAGUCCACGCUGUAAACGAUGAGU